AAUAGCUUGAACUUUUGAAGGUUUAGAAAUUGCUUUCUCUGCUUCUGUACUUCCCGUACUUGAUGGUAACAUUGGUGUUAAUGGAGAAGAAACUGGUGUUGCAUCCUCUGCAAGUAAUGUCCUUGAACUAGACAAACCCAGAUGUUGUAGAUAUUGGUACAAUGGCCUUGAGAUGCAAGGAGAAGGUGUAUUCUGCAGCCUUGGUAAAUAAGGCACCCCACCGAGUACUGGAGUUGCCUUUGAGUGAAACAAUGAAUUGAAAGGAACAGUUAGAUUUUGUUGAUAUCUCUUCCCAGCCUGACGAAGUAUGCACUGAAGAUGACGUUCCCAGCCCACCAUUUCUUCAGCUAAACAAAAUCCCCCUCAAUACCUCUAGAACAAUCUCAGUUUGUA
rnacentral:misc_RNA from 1 species